rnacentral:rRNA from 1 species
GAUGAACGCUGGCGGCGUGCCUAAUACAUGCAAGUCGAGCGAACGGACGAGAAGCUUGCUUCUCUGAUGUUAGCGGCGGACGGGUGAGUAACACGUGGAUAACCUAUCUAUAAGACUGGGAUAACUUCGGGAAACCGGAGCUAAUACCGGAUAAUAUUUUGAACCGCAUGGUUCAAAAGUGAAAGACGGUCUUGCUGUCACUUAUAGAUGGAUCCGCGCUGCAUUAGCUAGUUGGUAAGGUAACGGCUUACCAAGGCAACGAUGCAUAGCCGACCUGAGAGGGUGAUCGGCCACACUGGAACUGAGACACGGUCCAGACUCCUACGGGAGGCAGCAGUAGGGAAUCUUCCGCAAUGGGCGAAAGCCUGACGGAGCAACGCCGCGAGAGUGAUGAAGGUCUUCGGAUCGUAAAACUCUGUUAUUAGGGAAGAACAUAUGUGUAAGUAACUGUGCACAUCUUGACGGUACCUAAUCAGAAAGCCACGGCUAAGUACGUG